AUGGCAGAUUUGCCACUCUAUGCUGCCAAGGACCCAGUCAACACUGACUUGAUUCUAGAACCACUUUUCUCAUCUUCUUGCCUACCAACCCCCAGGCCCCAGGUGCCCGAGAAACAUCUCUCUAAACUCACAGCUGCCUGCGGUUCCCCUGUAAGCACGUUGUUUGCUUCAUUUCCUCAUAAGGACCCACGGAGGCAUGGAGACAGCUAUUGCUCCCACUUGCUAGGAGAGGAGAGUGAGGCAAAGAGGAGUUUCAUGGAUCCCAGCUUCCAUCCCAGUCUCUGACUCAGCAUGGAGAAUGGUCCACACCUCCCUACAGCUACAGGUCACGUUUCCUUGUGUAGCUUAAGCUGACCGGACCUUGGAACUCACACUUGAUUCCAUCCCUGCCUCUGCUGAAUGGCCUUCUUUCUGAGGUGGAUAUCCUCAGGGUCCACCAUCCGCAGGCCACAAAACCUUCCUACAUCCUGGGCUGGAAACAUCUUGCCUUCCCUGCAUGCCCAGCACCAUCUCUCCAUCCUCCUGGGGCAGUUGGUGCUUUAGGCUUCGUAUCGGAAUCCCUGUCAUAGGUCUGUUGGCUCCCGUUCUAGAUUGCCAGUUUCUUCAAGUUAAGGUGCCAGUCUAAGUGAUUGUCCGAAGUGAGGCCCUUUGGGAGGGAGCGAGACUGCUACUGAUAAGUACUCCUGGGCAGCAGGUAGAGUCUGGGACUGUCCCAGGCAAGCCACACUGUCUAGAC
rnacentral:lncRNA from 1 species